CCGCUAAUUCAGCAAUCUAAUGAAUCUGUCUUAAUUUUUCUGAAAUCGUGCUUAAUUAUUAUUAGCUAAUCGGCGCUACACCGUUGUUCAAAUACUUAUAAUUGCAAGAAACCCCCGACUAGGACCAGCAGGUAAGAAUCUGUCUUGAUUUUAUAGUAAUGCCCGGUUGCAAUUAUUGGCCGCCAUCUUUGAUUUUUAUAGACGUUCGGGCCAAAAAAAAGGAGAAAUGUAUAUCCAGACAUGGACUAUAGCUAGAUACUAACUUUUGUGUUAGUUGUUUAUUUGAAAUGUAAUCUUAAUAUUUCUGUAAAAGAAAAAAACAACAACAAACAAAUCAGCCUUUUUUUUAUAUCAAUGUCAUCAAUGUGUAGGCCUAAUAAUUAGACUUUCAAUGAUUCAGAAGUUUCUCUACAGUUUCGUUAUUUUUUUUCCAGUCAUUGAUGUUAGCAUAUGUACUACACAAAGAAAAACAGUUUCCAUAUUAGAUGCCAUAGCAAAUCAAAGAUCAUAUAAUAAAAUAAGUCAAAAAACCCAAAUAUGGGAAAAAAAAGAGCUGAAGAAAUGGUGAUUUGAGCACCUAUGAUUUCUCAUAGUUGUUUUUUGAGGAAAGAUCAAGACAGUUGAAAAUGGCUAUUCAUAUUAUGGAAACUUUUUCUCACAGAGCUUGAUAAUCAGGUAAAAUGCUGGAACACCCUUGAAAGAGUAUUUGGUGUAUGAUAACAACAAGAGAACCCAAGCAUCAAUUUAUUUUAUACUUCUGGGAAAGAAUGCAUUUGACCCAAUUUUUAAAUAUUUAUUUUUUGUUAUUAAUGUUAAAUUUUCUUCCAAAACACAAUUAGAUUUUAAUUCUCUUCAAAUAUGUAUGUAUAAUAUAGCAAGUAAACUGACAUAUAAAUCACUUAGAAUUUGGUCGGAAAUCAUAAAGUAUUUAAUAGGCAUUACUAGAAACCAAAUGUAGAUCAAAUACACCCAGAAUUACAAAAAACCUUGACCUACAUUAAGGUGACUUUCCCUUGCUUAUGAAAUGAAAUACGUUUUAAUAUCCUGCUUUUCUGUGUUCUUAGAGUGAUUCUACCCUACCCUUAUAUCAAAUAUUUCAACUGUCAAGGGUUCUUUAAAGGGUACCCAGGGGGGCCGAAUGGUUAACACGCACACAUUUGAUCAGAAGGUCUGUCAUUGAUUCAAAUAAUUCAAUUUUCAAGGGUUCUUCAAAGUGUACGCAGUUGGGUUGGUUUCAGUUCUGGGGGGUGGGGGUGGAUGGCCGAAUGGUUAGCACGUGCAUGCUGUAUCAUACGGCCUCCUGUCAUUGAGUCAACUGGCAUGGUUUCGAAUCCCCGGUUGUAGACAAGGAGUAGGGUCGCCUGUCCAAUCUUGUGGGUUUUCUCCGGGACCUCCGGUUUCCUCCCACUGCUAAAGACCCCUACGCGCUAGCGAAUUAUUGAAAUAAAAUUAAACCAUAUGUUAAUCCCAAAAUGAUCUAGUUUGUGUCGAGUAGAUGUUAAACCCCAUUUCUCUCUGUCUCUCUCUCUUUUGAUUCUGGGCUUGUACCCAAUUAUCCCUUGCCAUAUCCAACACUGAAAAGUGGGAACUAUGCCGGAAAAUCCAGUUGAAAUUUCGCGGCCAACGCCUUAUGCUCACUGAACCACUGUGGCUUAUGACUUGUGAUUGUAUAUAAAUCUUUUGUACAUAUGAUAUUUUUUUAUUUCAAUCCUGUAAUCUUGAUGCUUUGCUUCUUUUAUUUAUAAAAUAUUCAUUUUGUUUGGGUUUUUUUUAAUGAGGAAAAGGCUCUACAUCAUUUUAUUACUCCUGCAAAAUAGAGCAAUUUUCUUUUGUUAGUUUUCUGUGUAUGCUAGUUAUUUCUAGAUGCCUCACAAAUCACUUGUAGUGUGAUUUUGUAGCAUUUUUCAGUUUUUGAAAUUGUUUCAAUUUAGUGCAUAAUUAAUCUUAUUAGUGCUUAGUUUGGAUGUUAUUAAAUUUAGAUAUAUUUGAAUUAUAUAUUUUGGGGUAUGGGGUAGGGAUACUGUGUACAUAUCUUUAUAUUCUCAGUUCUUGUUUUGGGGUAAAGAACAAUUUAAAUAGCUAUUUUAUAUUUUGUGAUGGGUUAAGUG